rnacentral:rRNA from 1 species
GGGAGCUUGCUCCUUGAUUCAGCGGCGGACGGGUGAGUAAUGCCUAGGAAUCUGCCUGGUAGUGGGGGACAACGUUUCGAAAGGAACGCUAAUACCGCAUACGUCCUACGGGAGAAAGCAGGGGACCUUCGGGCCUUGCGCUAUCAGAUGAGCCUAGGUCGGAUUAGCUAGUUGGUGGGGUAAUGGCUCACCAAGGCGACGAUCCGUAACUGGUCUGAGAGGAUGAUCAGUCACACUGGAACUGAGACACGGUCCAGACUCCUACGGGAGGCAGCAGUGGGGAAUAUUGGACAAUGGGCGAAAGCCUGAUCCAGCCAUGCCGCGUGUGUG